rnacentral:ncRNA from 1 species
UAGGCAGACAGUAAAUGUUUCGACGUCCAGCUUGGUCAUGAAAAGACAAUGACCAAUAUGUUACCUGCUUUAACAGGAAGCAACGUAAUAUACGGAA